UGCAAACCCACCGUGUCCCACUCACUCACUCUGCUGUGUUCCUCUCCUCGCUGGGCUGCCCUUCAAUGAACUAUGCAGAGAAAUGGCCCUGAUGGGAUCACUGAGAAUAUGCUCUUUUCCCUCUUUGUGAGUGUGCGAUGAGGAGAGGCCUCUCUCGCAAGUGCAGGAUUUGAUGGGCCUGGCCACGUUUACCCCUGGGAGAGGGGUCCUGGAGUUGUGCUGAGGAUUUUUCAGAAAAUAGCUUUCCUGGGCUGUUCACCUGUGAAGGGGCUGAGAGAUCCACAGAGCUAGCUUGGGAGACAGCGUCCCCUGUGCCCUCCAACUGAAGGUGCGUACAUGUCUCUGGGGAUCUUAUCAAGGUGCAGACAUGAGUUCAACAGGUCUGGGUGGGGCUGCUGGUCUGAGGGCCUGGGCUUUGACAGAGGGGGAGAGAGGGGUCUGCUCAUGUAACUUCUGCAGCCUCCAGAGCAGCAGGCAAAUGUUGAGUGCAUGAUAAUCUGCAGGCUCCUCCUCUCUCCUGUUCCACAGAAAUUUCAGUGAGCCCAGUCUAGCAUGGACAUGUGACAUAGAUCCAACCCAAGAUGAGGCCGUCCCUGGGCAGCCUGACAGGACUUUGGAAGGCAGCACCCCCACGCCUGGACAGCUGCUCUGCUGGUGGCUGCUGACCGCUGUGUGUCUGUGGUGGCCAGGGCGAUGCAUGCAGCCGCCAUCUUGUUGGCCCUCCCACGACGCCCUGGGAGCUGGGAUGGCUCUCACUUUUUGGAUGAAGACGUGGAAGCUCAGGGAGGUUGAGGACUCCGCCACAUCACACAGCUCGUGAAUGGCACAGGAACCUGUUCUAAGAAACAAUAAGAAACUCAAGCCAGAAGCAGAGAGCCCCUGUAUGUUUAGUUGUGCCUCGUGAGGCUGCCUGGGGCUUGCGAGGGCAGAGCUGGGGCCUUGGUGAGCAUUGCGUGGCAGACAGGCGCAUGUGGAGAGUUCCGACAGCGGGGGAAACACUUGUGACUUAACGUUAUGUGGAAGAAAGACCAAUACAAAGACAGGUGGUAUCACCACCCGCGAGCAGAAAGCAACUCCGGAAAGAGCUACAGCCGACUGUGACUGGCGGUUAGCUUUGCCAGAGACACUUACGGCUGAUUCAAGGCGUUUCUUUGUAAUUUUAGCAAGUGUCUGCAGGAAGCGUUUGACAGAUGUCUAAGGAAAUCCUCCUGAUGGAAGUGAGACCACACGACCUUGGUUGAAGGAACGAGCAGAAGAGGCUGCUGUACAAAUCACCACCCGUCCAGCAGCAUCAUAGCCUGGGGACUGCCGUUACAGUCCUGGAGGCAUGGUCUGCAGGGCCUGAAGCCACGGUGUCAGCAGGGCGCCUUCCCUCCGUAUUCCCUGGGGAGAAUUUGCCUCCUUGCCUUUGUCCCCUUCUAGAGGCUGCCCACACACCCAGACUCAGACCACGCCUCUCCCACCUCUGCUCCCAUCAUCACAACUGCUGUUCUGAUCCCGGCUCUUCUGCGUCUGUCUCAUAAGGAUCCUUGUGGCCACACUGUGCCUACCUGGACAACCCAGGAUAAUUUCCCACCCCCAGAGCCUUAACCUAAUCACACCUGCAGAACCCUUCUACUGCAUGAGGGAACAUGGCCGCAGGUUCUGGGGUUAGGACAUGGACGUCUUUGGGGAGUGUUAUGCUGCCCACCACAGGGCAAUCUACCAUGGGGGUGCUUUUCAGGG
ensembl:lncRNA